rnacentral:misc_RNA from 1 species
AAGUCGUAACAAGGUUUCCGUAGGUGAACCUGCGGAAGGAUCAUUACAAAUAAAGCUGGUAGGAAGUGGGGUCUUGAUCUGUAAGUGGUAGGAGCGAACAGGUCCGGCUCGCUACCCGAAUGUCUUCGAUCCGCCCCCACAGCCUGAAGGCCGAAUUACAACCCUUGAUUACCUACACUUGUUUGCUUUGGGGGUGCUCAAGUGCCCCAGAGGGCCCCAACUCUCUUGCAUUUAGUGACGUCUGAGUACUAUAUAAUAUUUAAAAAC